rnacentral:tRNA from 1 species
GCCGGGGUGGCGGAACGGUAGACGCGGGGGACUUAAAAUCCUCUGCCCUUCGGGGCGUGCGAGUUCGAAUCUCGCCCCCGGCA